CGCGUCUCCGCCCGCGUCCCUGAGAAAUGGAGUGCAAGUUACUGCCCGCAGAGAAGGAGGAGUUGGUGGCCUGGGGCUUCUGGAAGAGAAGGUUUGUAACCACCGCCGGAAGGAAGGGGAGAAGGAACCAACCAGACCAGCAGGACUGGGAAGCGUGGGGCCACCCGUCUGCGCUUGGAGACGAUGAGGCCCAAAGAGGCUUCCCCGGUGGCUCAGCUGGUAAAGAAUCCACCUGCAAUGCGGGAGACCUGGCUUCGAUCCCUG
ensembl:lncRNA